rnacentral:lncRNA from 1 species
CCCUCUUUCAAUUAAGGAGACAGAUAAGCAGUUGUCUUGAGAAUAUAAGGUCACUGGCAUUCCCUAAAUGGAUUCCAGUGCCUGCUACAGAAACAAGUGGAAGAUUAGCCUGAGCUAACAUCUGCUGCCAAUCCUCCUCUUUUUGCUGAGGAAGCCAGGCCCUGAGCUAAUAUCUGCGCCCAUCUUCCUCUACUUUAUAUGUGGGUUGCCUACCACAGCAAGGUUUGACAUGUGGUGCUGUGUCCGCACCUGGGAUCCAAACCAGCGAACUCCGGGCCGCCGAAGUGGAACGUGUGAACUUAACCGCUGUGCCAAUGGGCCGGCCCCCUUGGCAAUGGUUUCUUAAAUACAACACCAAAGUCAUAAGGAACAAAAGAAAAAGUAUAUAAAUUGGAGUUCUUCAAAACCAAAAUCUUUUGUGCAUCAAAGGACACUACCAAGAGAGUGAAAAGAUCAUGUCUAUAUUUCCACCUCUCCGACCUCCUCACUACUCCAUCUCUGCAAGCAUGUUUUAGAAUGAUGAGUUCUGAGCUGUUGCAUCCUGGGAAAGGGAGGCAUAAGUCCGUGUGGACUGUCCCCUGAAGACAGCUGCCCAAAGGUUGCUUUGGCCAAGAUAAUCAGGAAAAUGUUGAAUAUCAUUAAGAAAAUUAGGAAAAAAAACCUGGAUCCAGAGUUGAAGACGCCGUCCCAGCACUCAGGAAGUCUACGAGUGAUGCAGAGUCCUGGCAAUGGAGAUGGAGAGAAGAGGACAGACUUGGAGGAGAUGGCAGAGGUAGAAUCAAUAGGAUUCAGCAAUUAAUUGAUGACAGAGGAGAGACUAUGAUGUGGAACUUGACUCCUGGUUUUCUGACUUGAGUAACUGAGUGGACAGUGGUGCCUUUAACUGAAUGGCAAAGCACUGAAGGAGGA